GUAGUCCACGCCGUAAACGAUGGAUACUAGCUGUUCGGGGCAACCUGAGUGGCUAAGCGAAAGUGAUAAGUAUCCCACCUGGGGAGUACGUUCGCAAGAAUGAAACUCAAAGGAAUUGACGGGGGCCCGCACAAGCGGUGGAGCAUGUGGUUUAAUUCGAUGAUACGCGAGGAACCUUACCAGGGCUUAAAUGUAGUGGGACAGGCUUGGAAACAGGCCCUUCUUCGGACUCAUUACAAGGUGCUGCAUGGUUGUCGUCAGCUCGUGCCGUGAGGUGUCAGGUUAAGUCCUAUAACGAGCGCAACCCCUGUCGUUAGUUGCCAGCGAGUCAUGUCGGGAACUCUAACGAGACUGCCAGUGCAAACUGAGA
rnacentral:rRNA from 1 species